rnacentral:rRNA from 1 species
GACGAACGCUGGCGGCGUGCCUAAUACAUGCAAGUCGAACGAAGCUGUUUUAACUGGUGCUUGCACCGACUUAAACAACUGAGUGGCGAACGGGUGAGUAACACGUGGGUAACCUGCCCCAAAGCGGGGGAUAACAUUUGGAAACAGAUGCUAAUACCGCAUAACCACAGAAACCACAUGGUUUCUGUGUCAAAGAUGGUUUCGGCUAUCACUUUGGGAUGGACCCGCGGCGUAUUAGCUAGUUGGUAAGGUAAUGGCUUACCAAGGCAAUGAUACGUAGCCGGACUGAGAGGUUGAUCGGCCACAGUGGGACUGAGACACGGCCCAAACUCCUACGGGAGGCAGCAGUAGGGAAUCUUCCACAAUGGAGGAAAGUCUGAUGGAGCAACGCCGCGUGAGUGAAGAAGGUUUUCGGAUCGUAAAACUCUGUUGUCAGAGAAGAACGUGUGCGAGAGUAACUGUUCGUGCAGUGACGGUAUCUGGCCAGAAAGCCACGGCUAACUACGUGCCAGCCGCCGCCGUAA